UUAAAUAUAUAUAUUUAUCGUCUUUGUAAGUAACAGGGCUUUUCAAAAUUUUGCAAGUUAGUUUUGGCCAACCUUUCGUAGGCCUACUCGACUCCGACAUUGUCAAAUUUUUCCAAAAUCUCAGGUCACGUGGGUUUUCCUCAUCAAUUAUGCAAAUUAGCUCACAUUGUGCGCACGAACCGAAAACCAGAGUGCCUCUGAGCUAACUAGAAGAUUACUUUACAAUUUGUUUUCGAAAAUAACAAACACCACAAGAGGAUGGAACCAGACGAGUACAAGAUUUUGGUUGCAUAUAAACUGAAAGGCGAGUAUCCAGCGCUUUUCACGAAGAAAGAGAAGUUUCUUCUCCGAAGAAAAGCUGCUAUUUACGACAUUGAAGGGGAGCAGUUGUUUUACUGGCGCUACAAAGGCACAGACAAAACCAUAAAGACAACGGUAGUCUGUGGGGCUGAUGAGGCAAACACAAUUUUUUCAGAUUUUCAUGCCAGUCCUACUGGGGCCCAUUGCGGGCAAACAAAAACAAGAGAAGCCAUUUCAAAGCGGUUCUACUGGCCAGGGAUGUCAGUGGACAUCAAUAAUUGGGUUUCCCAGUGUGCACUUUGCCAGGCAAGUGCUGCAACAAUUAAAAAACCAGCGGAAUACAUUCCGAUAAAGGUCUCUCAGCCAUUUGAACUGGUUGGGAUGGACCUUAUUGGAAAACUUACUGAAACCAACAAUGGACAUCAAUACAUGUGUUUUUAUUGAUUAUUUUACAAAAUGGCCACAAGCAUACCCUUUAAAGUCAAAAUCAGCCGGGGAAGUGACAAACUGUCUCAUAAAAUUUGUCCACCAGUUCGAAGCCCCCAAAAGGAUUCUUACUGACCAAGGCAAAGAAUUUGUCAAUUCUCUCAACAAAAGGGUUUGCGGAUUGUUAAAAAUUAAAAGAAGCCUCUGCUCCCCCUAUCACCCACAAACAAAUGGGCUGGUGGAGAAAAUGAAUGGCACCAUCCAGAGAGCCCUGUGUAAAGUCGUUGGCGACCAACCAGAAAUGUGGGAUGAGUAUCUGGAUGUUGUAAUGUUUGGACUCAGAACUAAAAAACAAGUGACCACCAAAUACUCACCUUAUUACCUAAUGUUUGGCAGAGAGGCUCGCUAUCCUUCCGAAAUCCCAGAAGAGUUCAUGGUUGAUGAGAGUGUGGAAGACAUUGUGGGGCAGGAGGAGCUGUCGGAAGACAUUCAAAAGCAUCAAAAGCUGUUGGAACUGGUGAAGGACAAUGUGGUCAAAGCUCAGGAAAAAACAAAGGGCAAAAUAAAAAUGAUGAAGAGAGAUGUCGUCUUCAAAGUUGGUGACAAAGUUUUAAGAGCUAACAUAAGAAGCCAGCAGAGGAAAGGGGGAAAACUUGAAGCAAACUUUUUAGGCCCUUACAUUAUUACAGCAAUCCAAGGUAAAAGUGCAGAUCUUCAGGAUUCCAAUGGGACAAUCAUUCCAAAAGUAAAUAUUGACCAACUAAAGUUAAGCAAAGACAGCAUGCCAAGAGUACCACACCGGGGUUCAAAGAAAACAGCAGCCACAUUACCAACAGCACAACCAGGUCCAGCAGCACCACAAGCUGCAGCAGCACCAGCAUCUGCUCUAGCUUCACAGGCUACAGCAGCACCAGUGGCGGUAGCACCACCACCACCUCCUCCUAGAGCUACACAGCCUACAGCACCAAUGGCAUCACUUACAUCACUAUCAGUUCAAACACAACAUCCAUCUCCAGUUCCACAAGGUAUAGCAAUAACGGUAUCAGAUCCAGAGUCAGGAGCAACAGCACAGAAAGAGAACGAACCAGCCACAAGUGCUACAGCACCAGAAUACGCUACAGCUGUACAAACCGAAUCCCAAACAGCAGCAGACCCAGCCUCAAAGACCAUAACAGCAGACCAGGCCUCACAAACCACAACGGCAGACCAGGCCUCACAAACCACAACGGCAGCAGACCCAGCAUCACAGACCACAACAGCAGCAGACCCAUCCUCACAGACCACAGCUCCAAAUGCUACAACCACACAAGCCUCAGCUCCACAGAUUACAGCCCAGCAAUCUACAGCACAAACCAUGGAAGCAACAGUUCCACUUGUGACACCAGCCCCAGCAACAGCCACACAAGCUAGCCCUGCACCACCUCCAGCAUCACCAUCUCAGAGAUACACUGAACCUGUUGCAGAGAAAUAUAUAAUGGAUGCCUGGGCUGGAAAGAGUCCUCACGUUCUACUCUCCAAAAUUGGUGCUUACAAAUUAUUCUACUGGGAUAUCCAACAAAUUGGUCCGGACAUGGAGUUGGAAAGUGAGUCUAUUAAUGCAUAUCUUGCGAUCAUGGUGAGACAAUGCAAUCGCCAUAAUUCAGCCAAAGCAGCAUUCAUUGAUUCAUUUUCAAUGACUGCCAUUUAGAAGAGAAAAGCUCCAAGACUCAAGAUCAAACCCAUGGAGCAUGAAGUGAUUCUGGGAAUUGUAAAUGAACAUCAUCACUGGACAUUAGUGGUCAUUUACCCACAAGAAAAGAAGUCGCUGUAUCUUGAUCCACUCGGAGAAACUAAACAAAGUAUCCAAAAUUGUUUGGAAUCAACAAGGUAAGGAUAACUGCUCAAAUUUAUUUUGACCCUUUAUUAAACUCUUUGUUGCUGUUGUUAUUUUUGUGUUUAUUAUGACAAUUACAAGUAUGAUGUCAAUCAAAAAAUAAAUGGUACUCAGAAUUAAAAAACUAGCAGCAACAGGUUUAAAUUUUUGUGUUCGCCUUCUGAUAUUGUGGUGUUAUGGGUUAAUUUUGCCUUUAAAGAGAAGUCUCCCCAUGUUUCAAUGUUUAUUUGAGGACCUGAUGUCUGUAUGAGAUGAUGUUUUUACAUUAGAAAAUAUAGCACGGGGAUAUUAAUGUUUAGUAGUUGCAUAAAGUGUUGCGGAGGUUUAGCACUAAAACAUCAGACAAAUGUCUAAAAUAAUUUCACAUAGGUUAUACAUGUGUGAAUUCAUCUUUGCUUCUCCUCCACAUCUCUUCAAAGUGUACUGUGUAAGUGAUUGAUUUCUAUAUCAUGGGAGGAAACAGGAAAAUAAAAACACAAGUAAUUGUCCACGAAAAUGCGUUGUAGACUUUUAAAAAGUAAUGAUUUUAACAAAACAGUGUGGUCAGUGUUCUUAACUUGAUGUUCAACAGACACUUAAGCUCUCCAUACUGUUCACCUUUUUGUGUCACCAAAAUUUUAAAACAUGUUAUUUGUUUUUAUUGUACUUGUCUUUCAGGGCAUUCAUGCGAAAAAAAGGAUGCAACGUCUCAAGAUGGACUUGUGACACAGUCAAACACCCAAAACAAUUGGACGCUACCUCAUGUGGAGUCUUUGCAUUGAAAUUUGCUGAAAAGAUCUUGC